GAGGCCGGGCGCGGUGGCUCAUGCCUAUAAUCCCAGUACUGUGGGAGGCCGAGGCGGGUAGAUCACGAGGUCAAGAGAUCGAGACCAUCCUGGUCAACAAGGUUAAACCCCGUCUCUACUAAAAAUUACAAAAAAAUUAGCUGGGCACGGUGGCGCGUGCCUGUAAUCCCAGCUACUCGGGAGGCUGAGGCAGGAGAAUUGCUUGAACCCAGGAGGCGGAGGUUGCGGUGAGCCGAGAUCGCGCCGUUGCACUCCAGCCUGGAUAAUGAGCGAAACUCCAUCUCAAAAAAAAAAAAAAAUUAUGUUCACAUCAGGGAUUUAGUAUAUACAUAAACGUAAUCAUUAAGGCAGUUUAGUCUUGCUCCCCAAGUGGGAACUGGAAUUCUAAAUAAGUGGAUUUAGUAAUACAAUGGGUAGACUUGAAGUCAUUAACUUUAAAAGUCUUUUCAAUCCCUCAACCAAACUGUUCAGGGAUCCAAUCAAAGCGUGCCACAGGAAACCUCUGUAAGAUGGUUCAUCUCCAAAGAUGAUGGAGAGUAGUGUGUAAGUGUGAGGGAAACAGCAUUCAGAGCAUGGCUUACUUGUUAUUAGGCUUGAGCAGACAGCUUUGGUAUCAGGUCAGAAGCUGUCGCCCAGGCUGGAGUGCAGUGGCACAAUCCUGGCUCACCACAACCUCCACCUCCUGGGUUCAAGCAAUUCUGGGAUUUAAGGUCAGAAGCUGGGUUAACUAAGUAGCAGGCAGUCACUUUCUCACUAAAGGUAGCAGAUUUAAAAGUAGGAAUGACUUUAAAUUUUUGCAAUUAUUUAGUGUGACAUUCUACACUUGGCGUUGACAUUUUAGGAAACAUGGUCUUCUGUGACUAGAUUUUGUUUUUCUUGAGACCUAACAGCAGUUUUUGACCUCAAGCACUGAAGUUUGUUUUUGUUUUAUUGUAUGUGCCUGUUUUUUGUUUUUGUUUUUGUUUUUUUGUUUGUUUGUUUUGAAACGGAGUUUCGCUCUUGUUACCCAGGCUGGAGUGCAAUGGUGCCAUCUUGGCUCACUGCAACCUCGCCUCCUGGGUUCAGGCAAUUCUCCUGCCUCAACCUACUGAGUAGCUGGGAUUACAGGCACGCACCACCAUGCCCAGCUAAUUUUUGUAUUUUUAGUAGAGACGGGGUUUCACCAUAUUGACCAGGAUGGUCUCAAUCUCCUGACCUCGUGAUCCACCCACCUCGGCCUCCCAAAGUGCUGGGAUUACAGGCUUGAGCCACCGAGCCUGGCCCAUGUUUUAUUGUAAAGACAAUCUCACUCUGUCACCCAGGCUGGAUUGCAGUGGUGCAGUCACAGCUCACUGCAACCUCAAACUCCUGGGCCCAAGUGAUCAUCCUGCCUCAGCCUCCUGAGUAGCCAGGGCUACAGGUGUGCACCAUCGUGCCUGGCUAAUUUUUUAUUAUUUUGUAGAGAUUGAGGUCUUGCUGUGUUGCCCAGGCCCAGGCGAUCCUCCCACCUUAGCCUCCCAAAAUGCUGGAAUUACAGGUGGGAGUUAUUUGUGCCAAUCUCUGAAGUUUUAAAUCUCAGUAUAUUUAACCUUUUCUUACCUUUUUAUGACAGAGUUACUGGCAGUAGUAUUCUAUUCCAUGUUGUUUUCCUUUUAUCUCCAGAGAACGCAAACUUUGAUUUUGUAUCUUUUGUUUAGGGAGGGAAGAUAAUACAAAACAAACCAUUGAUUUUUUUGAAUGUUAGCAUAUGGAAACUCAAAACAUCACCUAUUGACGGAGAUUUUUUGUCCCUUCCUUUUUUUUUUUUUUUGAGACAGAGUCUUACUCUGUUACCCAGGCUGGAGUGCAGUGGUAUGUCAGCCCACCGCAACCUUCACCUCCUGGAUUCAAGCGAUUCUUCUGCUUGCUAAUUUUUGUAUUUUUAGUAGAGACUGGGUUUCACCAUAUUGGCCAGGCUGGUCUCGAACUCCUGAUCUCAUGAUCCACCUGCCUCGGCCUCCCAAUGUACUGGGAUUACAGGUGUGAGCCACCACGACCCAUGUCUUUCUUUUUAACUCCAAAGUUUAGAUAGUAUAUCAUUUUCUAGAAAAUACUGCAGCUGAAGUUUUUAUCCUGUAUGAGCAAUUUUUUCUUUAUUUUUGAGAUGAAGUCUCACUGUGUUACUCAGGCUGGAGUGCAGUGGUGCAGUCUUGGCUCACUGCAACCUCCACCUCCCAGGUUCAAGCCAUUCUCCUGCCUCAGCUUCAUGAGUAGUUGGGACACCAGGCACUCACCACCACACCCGGCUAAUUUUUGUAUUUUUAGUAGAAACAGGGUUUUGAUGUGUUGGCCAGGCUGGUUUCGAACUCCUGACCUCAGGUGAUCCACCCACCUCGGCCUCCCAAGGGAUUACGUCCCAAGUGCUGGGAUUACUGGCAUGAGCCACCUCACCCAGCCUUAGCAAUUUUCAUCAUAAGAAGUAGGGCAACGCUGUAAGAUUAUGUCCAUGAUUCUCAAACUGCUGCAUUUUGGAAUAACCUGGGAGUCAUUAAAAAAAAAAAAAACACACACACACAACCAAAAAACUGAUGCCUGACUUCCACAUCCAGACAUUCUGAAUUAAUUAGUAUGGAGUGUGACCUGAGCAGAGGGAUGUUUUUUCAAGUCCCAUAGUUCUAAUGUACAACAAAAUCUGGGAAACACUGGGUCAUGUCAAAAAAUGCUAAAUUAUUUCCCUAGUGCACACGUGGAAAACAACUGUGGGGCUAGCUCAAGUAGAAAAUCUUCUAAAUUGCGUUCGUAGCCCAGAAAGGAUUAUCAUAUUCCUAAAUGCAUUUUUAAAUGAGGGAAGGUGGAUACUGAAGUUGGAGGGAAAGACCUGGAAACUGAAAUACUUCAUUUUCUGAUUUUUUACAAAACUACACAUUUUUGUAGUUCAGUGGUUAUCAGUAUAAAUACCAUUUUUAAUAUCUCACCUGUCAUUUCUUAGAUAACUGCCUCAUCAUCAGUGUGAUUUCUGUAGCUACUCAUUUUCCUUCUCUAACAAUACUUCCAUUCUGUUUGACUUGUCUCUUGACAGCAAAUCUGAGCAUUCCUGAGUUUAAUCACUGUGAAUGUUCAUCUGUCUUACACUACCCCUGGCCACUUUAAAUUUGCCAUUUCAUCAUGUCGCUCAAUCACAGCACCUCUGGGUUUUAAGAGUUUCUUUAGAAUUCUGCUAUUCUCCCUGGUGACUUUGAAUUCAACCAUAGUUAAUUAACCUCACCAGAGAUAAGCUUUGGCAGCUGCAGAAGCUUACAGCUCAUCUAUUUAGGAAUCAGAACCUCAGGCCAAGUGUAGCUUGUACCACCUACACACUCUAGGUCUGUGGCUCACCUUACCAGUUCCUGCCUUUAAAGGUCACGUGGAUUGCACUUAAGCGUCUUUUCAUAAUGAGGUGUGCACACAGACUGGAAUCUCUUAGGUCUGUCUUUGGUUUUAUUAUAACUUGCUGGGACUACUUCCUGGAUUGCUCUGAUUUUACAGUUCAAAUGUAUGUCUUUAAUUAGAACCUGAAUUAAACAUGGAAGUCAGGGACUCCUAACUUCAGUGGCACCAUGGUAAUGGGGGUGAAGAGGAGGUUGCAAGCUCCCAUUAUAUUCUUUUGUUCUGCCCUGACAUCCUCUUCUUUCUAAAAAAAAAAAAAAAAAAAAAAAACCUUAGCUCCAGCUGGCAAGAGUGUUAAAUCAUUUACUGGAAAAUUUAAAAAUUGUAUAGUUUUUAACCUUGAGCCAGGCACUGUUCUAAACAGGUAAAAAUGUUGACUCCUUUAACCCUGAAAGCUCCUUAAAGAUGGGAAAAUAGGUUCUGGAAGAUUCAAUAGCUUGCCUGGAGUCAUAGUUAGUAAUGAAGGAGCCAGGAUUCCAACCCAGGUGUUUCAGCUCUAGCAAGUUUUUAACCAUGAGGCUUUGCUUCCACUUUUCUCCUUAGAUUUAACGGUAGAGAAGGAGCAUGGGAACCAAAUGCUCCUUCAAAAUGACUUGAAAAUGCCCUUUGCCCUGUUCCCGUCCCAGGGUCAGCACGGACGCAUUAGAGCCUGACUUCUUCAGUCUCCCCUCAAAGCAGCAGAAAGUUCUUAAUGUGGAGCCCUCUCAGGGAUGAAGCUAAUAAAGGAAAAUGCAUAUUCAUUCCUGGAUUCCAGCAAAUCAAACAAAAUGGACGCUGCGGGACAAAGUCUCACCUUUAUCAGAGAACUACGUGUAUAGCUCAGGUAGAGUGAGGCAAGUCAGAUGUUACAAACAUUUCUUAUCAGUGUUUUUAAUCCCCACUUUAGAGAUAAAAAUGAAAAAGGUUAAAUAAAACAACCAAUGUCACAUAACUAGCAGGGUAGCAAAGCCAAAAUUCAUACCCUACAUACCCUAUCUGAGUCCAAAACCCUUGCAUUUCCCCCCUACAACCAAUAGAGAAGAAGUGGAUCUUACCCCCCUUAUUAUGAGUGUAAUAAAACUUAAAUUUCUAGCAACAUGGCAGACUGGGCAACCUGAAAAUGAAUCACCACAAAAUACCAAGUAAGUGCCUUUUGAUUCAGUUCUUCCAUGGAUAACAACUACAAAUUCUAACCAAAAUAUAUUAAAAGCAACCACAGACCCUGGAGAAUAAAUAAAUCAAGCAAACAGGGGGGCUGGGGGGUGCAAAUGCAGUGUAUGAAGUACAUUGCCUGCUAAACAACACAAUACUCUUUGGAGGAGCAAAAGAACAGAACAGAAUCUAGAGUUUCUUUUUCGGGGGAGAUGGGGGUCUCACUAUUUUGCCGAGGCUGGUCUCAAACUCCUGAGCUGAAGCAACCCUCCUGUCUCAGCCUCCUGAGUAGCUAGGACUACAGGCAUACCACCAUGUCAGACUUGAAUCUAGAGUUUCUACAACUUAUUCAUGAUGUCCAGAAUAUAUCCAAAAUUACUCCACAUGUAAAGAAGCAAAACAUGACCCAUUUCUUAAGAAAAAAUCAGAAUCAUUUAAAUAAAGAAAUACUUAGGUAUAAACUUAACAAAACAUACAUAGGAUUUAUAAACUGAAAAUUACAAAAUGCUCAUGAAAAAUUAAAGACCACCUAAAUUACUAAAGAUAUUCCAUGUUCAUGGAAUAGAAGACUCAAUGUGGUAAAGAUGCUGAUUCAAAAUGAUCUGUAAGUUUAAUGAGAUUCCUAUCCAAAUUCUAAUAAGGUUCUUUUUAUAGAUAUUAGCUUAUUAAAAAACUUAUAUAAAAAGACACAGGCAAAAAAAAAAGCUACUAAAAUAGCGAGAACAAUAUGGAAAGGAAUAAAGUGGAAGGAACACCUGCUGAUACUGGAGUUUACUUUAUAUAGGUAUAGUCAUCAAGACAGGGAAAUACUAUAGAGGGAAAGAGACACAUGGAUCAAUGGAACUGAAAAAAGAACCCAGAAACCCACACAAAUAAAUAUGCCUAAGUGAACUUUCCUUUUUCUCUUGCUCGUUGCCCAGGCUGCAACCUCUGCCUCCUAGGUUCAAGCAGUUCUCCUGCCUCAGCCUCCUGAGUAGCUGGGACUACAGGUAUAUGCCGCCACAGCUGGCUAAUUUUGUAUGUUUUGAGAUGGAAUCUCACUCUGUUGCCCAGGCUGGAGUGUAGUGGUGCGAUCUUGGUUCACUGCAGCCUCCACCUCCCAAGUAGCUGGGAUUACAGGCGUGCACCACCACACCCAGCUAAUUUUUGUAUUUUUAGUAGAGACGGGGUUUCAUCAUAUUGGCCAGGCUGGUCUCAAACUCCUGACCUCAGGUGAUCUGCCUGCCUCGGCCUCCCAAAGUGCUGGGAUUACAGGCAUGAGCCACCGUACCCAGCCUCAGAAAAUAAUAUGUAAUCUACAUAUAAACACUCCUCCCUCCAAAAAGUAAAUAUCUUUGAUUUAGAAGUCCAAUGGAUAUAAUUCUAAAAAUAUUAAACUAACACACACACAAAAAAAAAAAAGAAAAAGGAAGAA